rnacentral:rRNA from 1 species
AUGGCGAUCGUCCCACACGGCACCGGGGGGAGCACGGUGUCCAUGGCGAUGCCGAUGCUCACACCGCACAACUACACGGUAUGGGCGAUCAAGGCCGAAGCCAUCCUCGACGCCCAGAACCUCUGGGAAGCGGUGUCGCCGGCCGGCGACACGGCGGUCAACGCGGGGAAAAACAAGACGGCGAGGGUGGUGCUGUUCGGUGCACUCUCCGAAGACUUGUUGAUGCAGGUAUCGACGAAGAAGACGGCGGCUAAGGUGUGGACCAGCUUGAAGACGAGGUUCAUCGGUGCCGAUCGGGUCCAGGCGGCACGGCUCUCCACUCUCCGUGGCGAGUUUGACAACCUGUGCAUGGAGGAGGGGGAGGCACUGGACGCAUACGCCGGCAAAAUCAGCGGCAUGGCAGCAAGGUAUGCUGGCCUCGGCUCGACGCUCGGCGACACCGCCAUGGUGAAAAAAUUGCUCGACACGGUGCCCGAUCGGUUGUAUGCUGCGGUGGCCGGGAUCGAACAGUUCUGCGACAUGGAGACGAUGUCAUUCGAGGAGGCGUUGAGUAGGCUCAAGGCGUUCGACGAACGCUUACGUCGGCGCACGCAGGACAACGGCGGACGAGGCGGCGAUCAACUGAUGUUCACGGCGGCCCAGUGGGAGGCACGACAGCGUCAGCACAGCGGCAACCUCGACCACGACGACGGUGCGAGCAGCAUGGCUUCGGGCACGAGAUGGCGGCGCGGGAAGUGCUACAAUUGUGGCGUUCGUGGCCACUUCUCCCGUGACUGCCGGCAGCCGAAGAAGGAGAAGGCGCUCCUUGCCGACACGACGACGAGCCGACCUUACUGUAGGUCGUGUCUUAGGGGGAGAUUGUUAGGAAUAAGACACGGUGGUGGUGGUGACCAGUGUGUGCGUGCGUGUUGGUCAUGCCGGACUUCGUGGCGAGUGUGCGCGUGUGCGUGCGUUGGGUGCUUGUCGAGUCUAUGCUUAUGUUUGGGUCGUAGUCAAUUAGCAGCAGUCGCGGCUGGACGCAUCAGAACGCGUAGUAGAGGAUGGCGUAGGCGAGCGAGUCCCUGGGCGCUCGUACGUGCGUGCGUAGGAAAGGAAGCUUGGGCUCUACGUCCCGUGUGA